GGCUAUGUAGCUCAGCCGGUUAGAGCGCGGGACUCAUAAUCUCGAGGUCGGUGGUUCAAGUCCACCCAUAGCCA
rnacentral:tRNA from 1 species